CGAGUCUAACGAGCUCAGGUCAAGAUAUAUAUUUUUGCUCCCGACUGUACCCCCGGGGUGUGGAUGGAACGGAAGAGGUACGAACGGAGAUAAUACCGUGCGAAUCGACGUUGGAUUCCAUCUGGGCUAUAAGAUCGGGCAACAACGUGUGAAAUAGCCUCUAACCGCGAGUCUCUCUCAUCCUUAUACAUAUAUUUGCCUAAUGCCGAAUGGAAAGGUAUGGUCGCGAUGCUGCGCCGUGCAACGUCGCCAAGAUAUUUCUAACUAACGUAAGAAUAAGCCAAUGUGACCGGGAUGAUGUCGACCUGGAAACUACCGCACUGCCGCGGGUAACCGUAAGCCGGGACGAACUUGCGCCGCGGUAAGCCCACCAGAAUGCGAAUGAGUCACUCCGAGUGAAUGCACGGUGUGAAUGUCUGAUGCAUGGAGCUCGAGAGGUGAGAGUGUUGGAUGCGGUGAAACGGGUAUUCGAGGAUCGGGCAGAUUAUCGAGAGAGAGAGAGAGAGAUUGUAUCAAACUCGGAGUGUAGGAAAAGUCGGCGUUAUAGUGCGAGGGAAUUUAAAAGUUUGACCAAUUUCGUAGCUAUUUCCGGACCGUACGGAAGAGUAGAGUAGAAUAUUAAAAGAAUUCCGAACUAAUUGAAGUGGAUUGUAAACGAGAACGUAAACAGCGAGUCAAAUAUUAAUUAGCAAUAUUAAAUACGGCUGAUGUAGUGGGGGACGCGGGUCGUUUUAAUUAUUACACGAGUUCAUUAAUUGGCUACCGAUGAUGCCGUUCAUUGGGGUAUAAUAAACUUGUAAUUAGAUGUUACGAGUUCACAACUUCGAGGCUACGCGAAAAUGGAAGCGAUACGAGGGUGAUGUACAACUGGCAUGCUUAUUAGACGAAACAUUUGCAUAUAUACAAUAACAAUCUGCUUCUGUUGGAAAGUUCAGACUCCGAGAAACCGUCGAUAAAUUCAUCGCUGCUUUGAUUAGUCGAAGAAGUUCAUGGGCGUUUGAACGGAAAAGUAGGUGACUUGAGUUGACCCGCAAGAGCUUCCAACGUAGCAAUAGCUCCACGUUACGUACGAUGUACACCUUGAGUAAACGGUUGUGUAAAAUAAUGAAAAAUUAAACCCACGAGGAAGAAAACCAUGAACUCUACUAAGAACCAUAAUAAGGUGACGUGGACUCGACCGUUCACCUUUCUAGGAAAAUCUAUUCCAUGGUCUACGAGUCCCGUAAUCCUGCAGCUAACGGCACGACCGAGUGGGUAACACCGGCGGUGACAUUUACUACUUUACGCUCAUACCACGGCUUAUACGAUGUACCUACGUAACUGUAAUAACGAUCCAAAAGUCGAUUCGGUGGUGGUUUUCAAACCGACCCAUUACGUACGAAGCUGUCCGUCCGUCUGUCUCCGGACCCAGUGAAAGUCAUCGCUCAACGAUUCUGCAGUUAUUGGAUACAGUCAGCGUUACCGAGCACGAAUAUCACUCGUGCAGAGCGAUCAUUGCUACGAAAAAACUCACGAGCAACGGACAAAAGGCUUUCCCUUGUACGCAAAAAGAGAAAAGUUCGUACAGUUGAAGAAAUAAGAGAAGAAAAAAAAAAAAAAAAAACAUGGCCAAUUUCGACCGAAACUGCACCGAUUGUACCGAACGUCGACCUCGGCGAUAUUAGUCGCACUCUGAUUUCGGAUGAAUUUCACAGCGUUCUUACUUCUCGUCGCCAUGUUUCGUUCGAACAAUUUACGAGAUGCUGUUUCGCGUUCCGUGUGUCAGGUAUAAUAAGCUGCAUACCUACACCGUGUACAAAUGAAAAGUAAAAUCGUAUUCGAUUCCAGUUAGAGAAUGUGCAGCCUCAAUAAUAAUUGUUCGCGUGGGCUUGUUUUAUGGUCACGAGCACACGUUCGAGAUCGUUGUAUUCCCCGAGCCGAUUCAUUUUAUUGCAUUACUUAUAUACCUGUUCCAUGCCGAUUCACCGAGCAGAUAAUCGGGGCUUCGACGUAUCAGCACACCCCUGUCAACAGCGAUAAAGUCACGGUGGGAAUAGAAAAUAUGAACCUCGUGCAUUUCGCGCUCGAGAUUCAAGAUUCGGAAGAAAGAUUCCAAAGCAGAAUUGACAACGAUUUUCUCGCUGUACGAUUUUCAUGGGGGGGGGGGUUUUUUUGAAGCUGAGAGUUCGAAAGUUUGAAUAAUAUUAAUUAUAGCGUAGAAGUCGCGGACGGAUCCGCGAAGUUCAACGAACAAGGGUCCACACUAUGGCCGGCCAGCUAUCAAUUGAAUUAGAGCCCUCGAACGAAUAUCCGGCUAUAGGCCGGCGGAGCUGUAGAUACGGCGUAUAGCCACUCGAACUGGAUCGACCACUAGUUUAAUAGCGUUAACAACCGCGAAGUGGAAGUAAAUUGGAAGCAGGAAACGUUCGCGCUGGCAAUGCCAGAGCCAAUGCCAAGAGCAGCUUAGUAAUUGGCAGGAGUUACGCGCAAUUCUAUCUAUAGAAUUCCCAGCUUCGUCGCGUUGUUACCUAGAAAAUGUAACGCUACGAUACUAGUUACAGAGCGUCCACACGUGACUAGUUGUUUGUCGCGAAAAUCGCGGAUCGUAACGACGUUAUUAUACCUCGAUUCAAUCGAUUCGUCCACGAUCUCUCCAAUCGAGCCAGAUACAUGACACGUUAGGAAAUCGACAUGAUCUCCGAUAAUUUCAUUGAUUACGAAAAAUCGAUUUACUUCACCCUCGCGCGUCACGACCCGUUUCACAGCCAGCGGACCAAAAGUGAGAUGAACCUUGAUAGAUCUGGCGAAGAAUUUCCAAACCGCAGACCUCUACGAAUUUAUUAAAAAUCCACAUCGAAUUAGGCUUGUAUUUAAUUAAAGCGUAGCGUCGUUCACUCGUUAUCGAUUUCUCGUCUGGCUGCGUUCCACCACCACAGAUUCCCGAGUCCAAGUAGAGUCGCUGUAGAUAGUCGAUGAGCAAACUUAUUGUUAGCGAAAGAUAUACUCGAAAGUAGUAGUAGUAGUAGUUAGAUUCACCCGUGCAGGAAACAACACUCGACGUACUGUAUUUUCUGCGGUACGUGCUACUAUUUCCACCAAUUGUAAAUCAGUCCGAGAGUAUAACUCGACUCGCAAUUAUAUUUAGCGAGUCAUUCAUUGACGCCCGAUGUACGUCCCGGUCUGAAUUAGACGCGGUAGAAUCCUAGCAGACACCUCCAUCGAUAUAGAAGUGUAAAAUGCGUGUCAUUCGAGCCCGAGGAAUCCAGCUUUUUUUCGUGUGUUCGAUCGAGUCCAAAAUGCGUUUCCAAAAAAUAGAUCGAGCUUUCUAAAUUCGAAGUAAAUCUUGUCUAAUAAUAGUUUUGUUCGCAGCCGUUUGCAAGAUCGCCCUGUGCGGUCAGACGAACCAUUGGUCGUCAGUUGGGGUCUCCGCGCGUAUUCGGUACCUACGAAGUCGGAUGAGUCUUCGCGCUGCUGCACUUGCGAUAUACAUACUCGCGGAGAGUUUUGGUCGGAGGCCAAGUUUUUUUAAAUUUAAACCAGCCGACGACGAACCGAGAAGUCGACGCGACUAUGACGCAAUGAUAGCGAGCCCUUUGCGUAAGACAUUGGUGAAAUUAAUUGGGCGAAAGGACGCGGUGUGAACCUUCUUUGGUAUACCUCGCGUGACUUUCAACCCUCUACGCGCGUCAUUGAAGCGAACAUCGUUCUUCGCGUCGUCGAACCGAGAGGCGAAUCUUAUGCGGAGAUAUAUUUUUUUUUGCUUUAAAAUUUGGGCCGGGUAGUUAUAACGACUUUGAAACGAGAAAAAAACUAUGAGGUUUUCACUUGUCUCCUAUAAAGUUCGAAAUAAUUUUUAAGUACCUCGUCGUAUUCGGAUGAAAUUUUAACCACGUGGGAUACAUUCAGUUUUCACCUCAGAAGCAAAUUUGGUUUUUUAAAUGCGCAGUAUAAUUUUAGUUCUCCAGAAAGUUUAUAAUUAAUUUCGAGUGAAAGUAAUCGAAUACAAUUUUCGGUUUUAACGUCGAGCCCGCAUAGGAGUUCUCUCACAAAACUGGAGUGCAUUGUGAUUUUUUCUUUUUUUUUUUUGGUUGGUUCUAAACUUAGGAAUAUAGUGCUCAUUGUCGGCAAACUUUUCAGUAACAUUUGAUCUCUGUACUGUACUCUAUAAUCCAACCAUAUAAGAAGUUGGGAUAGAAAGUACUCGACGGAGGGAAAGUUUAGAUAAUUUUCACGACAUGAGAUUCACAUGCAUAUCUCAUAUUUUAAUAUGAACACCCUCGUACCGGUUAAUUGCUGAAAAAGCUAAUUGCAAAAAUAAAGAUUUUUACAAAUCAGAUAUUUGCACAGUCUACCUAAUUGGCAGACAGUUCUGAAUUUUGUUUAUCCGUUCCCCAAUUUGUUCCCCGCACCAUCGUGGCGAUUGCUCUUAUUCGCAACCACCCUGACCCACUAACAAACGGUUAAAACAAAUUUGUGGGUCAGUGACAACCUCUGACGCGCUCAACUAAUGGGUACGUACGUAGGUACGAUCCGAUGAAAUGAACGAUAAGAAAGGGCGCGAUGCGAGGGUUGAUUCCGUGCACAUAAAUGUCGUUGGUAAUUAGAACACACGCGUGGACACACCGUGCGAUUCGUGCCUGAUUGUGAGUCGGUACAAUCCGACGAUAGUAAAUAACUAACCGGAACCGGAAGUUGUCACAUGGUCAUACCGAUCGCCUCGCGAGCUUUCCUAUAUCGAGUUACGGUGCCUGUGCAGGCCUGGUACACGUCAACGCGGAGGCAACGGAACAUUUCUAAGGACAACGGUAAUAACUGACAUUAUCUACGUUCAACGAAGCUGCGUUCCAAUUUAUAGGAUCGCGGUAAUUACUCGUGACGAGACGCUUAUUCGUCGAGCGGCAGACGAGGAUCGUUUCUUCUUUUUUGGUAAACCGGACGAAUGUCGAAACCAAUGCGGCGGGAGUACCUAUAUCGGUAGACGUGUGACGAUUAAUUGUUCCGAUUCGUCAUGCGGACUUACAGUAUAUCCAGUUGAAUAAAACCUCGACACCCGGAUCCGACGAUCCGUUAUAUGUAUAUACGUAUGUACAUCGCCUCAAGGAGAGAAGAGAAUGACGUCAUUCGAAAUUCGCCACCGUCAGAGUUAACCAUUUACGUGGCUAUACCAAUUCGCGAGGGUCGGUAUGGUACAGUUCACCGUUAAAUAUUUGGAUGUGGAUCGAGAUGAUUUAUACCUCCUCUACGCGCAUACACGAGGGAAUGGAGUUAGCGACGGUCCACCACUUCGAUCUCACCUUUAUCCGUCUCUGCGAGCCUCGCCUAACGCCGCGACACGUAUGGGUAUCGAAGUAUAGAUCAUAUACCUGAAUAUAAAUGAAAUGUGGUAGUGUGUUGUGUGCUUACGAGAUGUUUGCUCAGGUUGUCGGUAUUCUCGUGGUACAUACGUUGAGCACACACGAAAGAUGGAUAACUUCUUUGCGGUAGGACCCAUAAGUCACCCUAUAACAAUAAGGACAUGCCCGAGCCUUCGAAGUUACACACGUCUGUUCGAACAUGACGUUUGAAAGAGCGCGCAUAGCCUGCAUUGUAUCCAUAUAGCGGGGCGAUACGUAGCCGCAAUUUAAAGAUAUUUUCGCUCUGCAACGAUAAGCUUCGUCGCUCUGCGCUUCAAUUUAUAAUUUCUAUAUGUAUCACCCUGCAGGCUGUACCUACGUAUAGGUGCAAAUAUAACGACCUCGGCUAUACUUGUCACCGUAGCUAAAUAGACGUGUAACUAUAGAUUGUGCUGCACUUUGAUCGUUGCACAAUGGAUUUAUAAAGUUCUCUUCGCUCCGUAUGAUCGUAGCGAGGCGUUUCCCGUUGACAAGUCGUUUUAUUCCGAUCCCGGUAACAUCGCACGUUGGCUACCUGAGGUUUUUUUUUUGUUUUUUUUUUUUUUUUUUAUCCCUCUACGCGAGAUAAAUUCAUUCCGGCGAUAGCGAGUCCAUAAAUGUGUCACCUCCCCUCCAGAUCUAUUACCGAGGCAUUCCGACGCGCGUGUUCUUCGACGUGAACUUGUGGGAAUUUAUUUAGUAUACCGUACCGAAUCGCGCGCUUCGGGGAGAAAGAGUCGAGAGUCGGGUAUAGCGAUGGGGAGAACAGUUGGGAAUAUAUACGGGCUGAUAUUUAUUUAUUGGAGUGAAAAUGCGGUAGCGGUACAACGCGGCCAAGAUCCGCCUACGCACGAUAUAAGGUAUAUAUACUACAAGAAAUGUAUUAUACUGUACACCUGCGUGUGUAUAGGAGAAACAGGUACACACACACUUCGUACGAGAAGAUGACACUGUACCUCCACUACUUCUUCGAGUUACGAGCGAUCGUGCGUGGCAUGAGGCAUGAAUUGUGAAUCGAGGUGGUACCCGCUUGUAAAUCAUUUCCGCCUACCUCUGCGCGACUGUGUAACAAGUAAAAAGGAGCGACCACGUUCUUCUUUACUUUGGACGAAAAAAAAAAAAAAAGAAAAAUUCACUCUCCCGAUCCAUUGACGAAGAAAAACUUCACAAAACAAAGCAUCGUAUUUGUAUAUCGCGCGUCCUUAAAACGACACCGUGAUUUUUUGUUCGAGACAAUCGACGAUGACGAAAUUUAUUUUCACGUUGAAAUAAUGCAUCACACCGAUCGCGCAAGUAUUUAGAACAAACAAAGGCAACACAUUGCCGUGAUCGUUAUUCACGUUUCAUGUGGCGACAGCGAGGGCAAAAUCGGCGGCGAAACCCAACGUCUAUGAAAUACCGACAAUGAGACAACCAACGCUUUUCAACGUAAUAAUCAACAGACUCGACUACCAAUUGAGCUAAUUUAGAGUUGAAAGGUUCAAACGAGAUUUUCAGAUGAUGUGCAAUAUAAAAAUUGUCGUUCUAUUUUCGAGCGUGCAGCGUUACGAGGGCACCGCGAUGGCCCUAAUCGUCGUUCACCUGCCUUAUACCGCAGGGUUGUGGUCUCACCUGAUCCCCUCUAUUCUCGCGAACGCGUGAACUAGUGAACUCCUCGGAUCCGUUUAUGCCGCAUAAGCCAGGAGAUUAAACGGCUCUGUGUAAAGAGGCAGCUUUUCUAUGAAAGAAACAAAGUCGGGGAUAACACCGAUCGAUGCGACCGACUGAUCUACGUAUAUAUGUAGUAACAGUUUUCUGUUUCGUACAACCGCGAAUGCCAUCUGCACUCAUUCCAGGAUUUGGAAUUUCAAUUCCGCUAUCACGAAAUUGUGAGCAAUCGAUUGCGAUGAAAUGCGGACGUCGGGAUUUCUCGGGGGUCGAAUUGGACGCGAACUUUUUUCGAAGCGCACGGGGAAUCCUUGAAAUGCGUACGCAGGGCAAGUUUUUACGAAUACAGACGCGUUACACGAUAUUCCGGACAGACACGUAAUUCGUAUGGACGGGCGACACUUUGCGUGACAAAGCCAAUCGUCAUCAUUAUGACCACCGGUUGCGAGCAGCGACGAGACCAAUUUAUCGCUACCAUGUGCCAUGUUCGUUGAGGGUAAAGUAAUGACGAUAAAAAGUCAACUUUGUUCGGUCUAUUCGACGAUCUUCUCAAGUAUAAUCUAGAGACACUACAGAAAUCCAAAGACUUUGAAGUCGUGUUAAGUUCCCCCCUCGAUCAUCUCGAAAACGGGGCUUAAUUAGAUCGUUGGAAUAAAUUUCACUACCUAACUUCGUGACUUUUCGUGAGAAAAAAAGGUGAUUUAGACUCACGUCACCGAAUAGAAACACACGUGGAAACCAAGGUAUAUAAUACGAAUGCCGUAUGAAAGAGAGAGCGGACCAUAUUUCACGUUCUUUGAUACGUAUAUACCUAUGUACCUAUACCUCGUUUUGCAGCAAUGAGAUGAAUUCGUUUUUUCUUCUACGUUAUACUGUGGGAACAAUUACGAGAAUACGAUGUAAAACCGCGGCGCCUAUUAAAAGUGAUGAACGAUGACUAAUCCGCUUAUCCACCUGAACGACCGUAUAUACCUACCGGAGGAAAGAAAAGCGGGUCUGCUUCGCGAAUUCAAAUUAAUAGCCAGAGACGCACGAUCAAUUAGACUCAUCGCAAAAAGUGGGUCGCGCGUUUGCAACCACCGUUUGUAACACGCAAAUUUUUUAUCAGCGCAUCAUAUUCCGCGAUCCACGUCAUUUUGGACAAUAAUUAUGCAAUGCUUUCUCGGUAUAAUAACGCAGACGAAAAAGUAUACCCCUGAUUUUUAUCAUCUUCGCGAGAACUCCGACCCAAAAUUUAACAACCUCAUUCAAUUGUUAGCUAUUGAAGUAUUUUCGCCUAUGUUGCUGGAGUUUCGGACGGUUUUUUUUCUCCUGCCCAUUUUCUACGACGUUGUUUUUUUUUUAUUUCCGAUCAUGAUACAUUUCGUGAACAAUUCACUACGACGACUUACAAAGCUCGACGUUUAAAAUUAGAUUGACGAUGACGCUGCGAGAUCUGAAAAAUUCUCUUACCCUUUGAAAUCGCCCUACGAUAACAAUCAAUUUUAGUCGGCGAAAAAUUUCACCGCGUCCGACGUUCGAAGACCUCGUGGGUUCAAAAUGUUCCGCGUCGCGAUUGAUUGACAAACGCUGGAGUGCGAAAGCUUCUACUGUGUCGAGCUGACGGAGAAUUUAAUCAUUCUAAUGCGGAUCACAGGAUUUCGGGCAGACGUUCCUACGUCUCUAUCCGUUGCAGACUGCUCGAUCCGGAAUACCUAUACACCGGUUAAUUCGAUAAAACAGAAUUAUUUACAACGUGUCGAAUCAGCUGACUGCGGAUGCCCGCUAAGCCACGUGGCAGCUUAAGGUGGACAAAUUUCUCAAUUGCACGUGACCGUCGAACAGCCGGAAGUUAUUGUACGGGUGCCUCCCACCCGACACCGCCGAUAUCACGUGCGUGAGGUAUAUGCUCACCUAUACGCCAAUCUAAUUUGACAGCUACGUAGCCGAUGGUAAAAAUUCAUACGGCGCAAUUUAAACGUGAAAUUAGUUUUCCGAAAUUACGUUGGAUCUUUGAGCAGGUAACUCGACGUGCGUAUUUUUUCCAUCGACGUUAUGGAAGGAUUUUAGCAGUAUAACCGUUACCUUCGGAGAAAGAGAAAGCCUACCGUAUUCUAAUGAAUAAUUACCUCGGUCCCACGUCAUUUAUGGUCGAAAAUACCGACACAAUUCGUUAAAUCAGCCUGCGACUGGCGAGCUGAACUAUCGAGAGUGAAAAAACUUCCAUCGGGAAUUGACGUCGGCCUUUACUUACCUACACGCGAUUUGUACCUAGUCGUGAAAGUGGACGAAAAUUUAGAACCGAAAACAGGAUUCUUCUUAUCCGAUGCCGAUGUGCAGAUUCUUAUAUCAAGCAAGUGAAAUUGAAUGAUGUUGAAGCGUUUUUCAGUAAUUGUACUUUCCUCCGAGAUUUUCUAAGGUGCGAGUGUAUCUAACAGUAUAUAAUGAGGACCCGUCGUCUCCGAAGUACACUGCACGAUGUUGGUUCUAGGCGGAACUGAACGUUGCCGACCCGUUAUGCAGAAGUUGUAAAAGAAGUUGUAAUACCUACACCUUAUACACAUAAUGGGUUUGCACGUAAUUUCCAGUGUUUCGUAGAUUGGGACUAAAAUUGAUUGCACGUGCUCGUGUCAUCGGGUAAAACAUCAUCAUCUAUAUCCCAUCUAUAUUGAUUCGCCUGCAAGCAAUUCCGACCCCAUCGAAAGACGAUCCGAAUUUUUGAGAAACGAACAAGUUUCUGCAACUGCAGCGAACUGACACCGAAACUGUAAGCCGGUAAAAAAAAAAAAAAAAAAAA
rnacentral:lncRNA from 1 species